AUAAGAUCAAAGAGAAGCUUCCGGGUGGCCACGGCGACCAGCAGCAGACCGCCGGCACCUACGGACAGCAAGGUCAUACGGGAACGGCCGGCACCGGCGGCACUUACGGCCAACCGGGACACACCGGAAUGGCUGGCACCGACAGCACCGGUGAGAAGAAGGGCAUCAUGGACAAGAUCAAGGAGAAGCUGCCCGGACAGCACUGAGCCCGGCCCGCAGCAGCUACUCGAGAGUUGAGGUGCCGAUCUGGCCACCUUUGCAGAAUAAUAAGAUGGAGAUGCAGUAAAACUUCCCGAAAUAAAGUGAGCUACUCACUUGUGAUGUCUGAGUUCUGAGUCUGGUGGACUUGAAUUUGGGCUGCUUGUAUGUACCCGGGAUGUUUUGUGCUCUGUACUUCGAUGUGUGAAUUUUCUUUUGGUUGUACUGUGUAUUUAUUAUAUGGGGAUGUAUAUCAUGGUAUAAUGCAAUAUAUUUUGCCCUUUU
rnacentral:lncRNA from 1 species